UACGAAGGUGGCAAGCGUUGUUCGGAUUUACUGGGCGUACAGGGAGCGUAGGCGGUUGGAUAAGCCCUCCGUGAAAUCUCCAGGCUUAACCUGGAAAGUGCAGAGGGGACUGUUCAGCUAGAGGAUGGGAGAGGAGCGCGGAAUUCCCGGUGUAGCGGUGAAAUGCGUAGAGAUCGGGAGGAAGGCCGGUGGCGAAGGCGGCGCUCUGGAACAUUUCUGACGCUGAGGCUCGAAAGCGUGGGGAGCAAACAGG
rnacentral:rRNA from 3 species